UAGAGUUUGAUCAUGGCUCAGAUUGAACGCUGGCGGCAUGCCUUACACAUGCAAGUCGAACGGCAGCGCGGGAGCAAUCCUGGCGGCGAGUGGCGAACGGGUGAGUAAUACAUCGGAACGUGCCCAAUCGUGGGGGAUAACGCAGCGAAAGCUGUGCUAAUACCGCAUACGAUCUACGGAUGAAAGCAGGGGAUCGCAAGACCUUGCGCGAAUGGAGCGGCCGAUGGCAGAUUAGGUAGUUGGUGAGGUAAAGGCUCACCAAGCCUUCGAUCUGUAGCUGGUCUGAGAGGACGACCAGCCACACUGGGACUGAGACACGGCCCAGACUCCUACGGGAGGCAGCAGUGGGGAAUUUUGGACAAUGGGCGCAAGCCUGAUCCAGCCAUGCCGCGUGCAGGAUGAAGGCCUUCGGGUUGUAAACUGCUUUUGUACGGAACGAAACGGUCUUUUCUAAUAAAGAAGGCUAAUGACGGUACCGUAAGAAUAAGCACCGGCUAACUACGUGCCAGCAGCCGCGGUAAUACGUAGGGUGCAAGCGUUAAUCGGAAUUACUGGGCGUAAAGCGUGCGCAGGCGGUAAUGUAAGACAGUUGU
rnacentral:rRNA from 1 species